UCCCUGGUAGCCCAGUGGUUAAGACUCUGCACUUGCAAUGCAGGGCUACAGGUUUGAUCCCUGGUCAGGGAA
rnacentral:tRNA from 1 species